rnacentral:tRNA from 1 species
GGGGGCGUGGCUGAGCAGUAGAGCAUCUGCCUACCAAGCACAAGGUUCUGAGUUCAAAUCUCAGUACUGCCA